UGUGGAGGUGUGUGGUGGGGUGUGGAGGUGGUGUGGAGGUGGUGUAGUGGUGUGUGGAGGUGUGUAGUGGGGUGUGGAGGUGUGUGGUGGGGUGUGGAGGUGGUGUAGGGGUGUGUAAUGGUGUGUGGAGGUGUGUGGAGGUGGUGUAGUGGUGUGUGGAGGUGGUGUAGUGGGGUGUGGAGGUGGUGUAGUGGUGUGUGGUGGGGUGUGGAGGUGGUGUAGUGGUGUGUGGAGGUGUGUAGUGGUGUGUGGAGGUGGUGUAGUGGGGUGUGGAGGCGUGUGGAGGUGUUGUAGUGGGGUGUGGAGGCGUGUGGAGGUGGUGUAGUGGUGUGUGAAGGCGUGUGGAGGCGUGUGGAGGUGGUGUAGUGGUGUGUGGAGGCGUGUGGAGGUGGUGUAGUGGUGUGUGGAGGUGGUGUAGUGGGGUGUGGAGGUGGUGUAGUGGUGUGUGGAGGUGGUGUAGUGGGGUGUGGAGGUGGUGUAGUGGUGUGUGGAGGUGGGGUGUGGAGGUGUGUGGAGGUGUGUGGUGGGGUGUGGAGGUGGUGUAGUGGUGUGUGGAGGCGGUGUAGUGGUGUGUGGAGGCGUGUGGAGGUGGUGUAGUGGUGUGUGGAGGCGUGUGGAGGUGGUGUGUGGAGGUGGUGUAGUGGGGUGUGGAGGUGGUGUAGUGGUGUGUGGAGGUGUGUGAUGGGGUGUGGAGGUGGUGUGGUGUGGUGGUGGUGUGUGGAGGUGGUGUGGUGUGGUGGUGGUGUGUGGAGGUGUGUGGAGGUGGUGGUGUGUGGUGGAGGUGGUGUGUGGAGGUGUGUGAUGGGGUGUGGUGGUGUGUGGAGGUGGUGUGUGGAGGUGGUGUAGUGUGGAGGUGGUGUAGUGUGGAGGUGGUGUAGUGGGGUGUGGUGGUGUGUGGAGGUGGUGUAGUGGGGUGUGGUGGUGUAGUGGGGUGUGGGUGUGGAGGGAUAAGAUGAGAUGAGUUCUGUUCUGAUGAGAUGAGAUCUGUUCAGAUGAGAUGAAAUGAGUGGGGAGCGGACAGAUGCAUCUCCUGCAGGGACAUCUCUCUGGAAAAAAUAAAUCAAUUGGCAAAUGUUACACAAACAACUCAG
ensembl:lncRNA